ACCUGGUUAAAUAAAGGUAAAAUAAAAUAAAUAAAUAAAAAUGUGACCUGGUACUGCAGCUGGUCCCAGAGCCUCUCCCAGCUGUGUCCACUGGCAGCCAGGAUCUAGACCUGGAGGAGGCCACUCCUGACCUUACACACUCGGCUGGGGCAGAGGAACAACUGGAUGAAGAACCAUUCAGGCCUCUAGGUGGUGCUCCCAGAAAAUACUUACCUGCGUCAGGUCACAGAGGGACCAGUGGGGCUACCGGAGGCCAAACUAUUUAGACAGCAGAGUUCUACACGACCUCAGAUGGUACGACUAGUCAGGUUUAUGGCCAGCGAAAAGCGUGGUCGACCGUUGACCACUAGUCCCAGACUCCCUGACCCCUCUCAGCCAGCCCAAGCUAUAGAGACAACAGUGGAGUACAUAGUAGCUGGUACCCUGCUCCAUCCUGAUAAACAAGCCAUCAAGAUCCACACAUUUGAAACCGAGAGGAAGAGAAGGGGGAGGAGGAGCCGGAGAGGCAGGAGCAGAUAGCCCUGCUACAGGAUUUAGGGGAGAAGAAAAGCAGGCUGGAGCUGCUGCUACUGCAGGAGGCCCAGGAAGAGCGCAGCUGCAGACGGCCAUGGCCCAAGACACUGCUGCUGCAUCUGGACCACCGAAAACACCAGCCCAGGACGGCAGCCCUGCUGCACCAUCUCCUGAGUCUACUAUACACUCAGCUACUGAAGAUGACCACACCAGGAGAAUCAGAGUAUCAGCAGCAUCUCUUAGACCAGAACAGUUGAAGAGCCUGUCCUUCCAGUCAGCUGUUAGACCCUCAGAACCAGACUACCUGUCCUCCACCACCAUCUCUUCUGGCAGCUUCGCCACUGACCCUGAACACACCUCCACCAAAAUAGGUUGUGUGUGUGUGUGUUUGGCUUGUUUGUAAGCCUAAUUAAUUGAGUAUCUAUCCAAGCCAGUCAUGUCAGAAAUUCUAUGUGAUAGUUGUAUUUAAAAUGGAGAAAGCUAAUCCCCUGUUUUAUUCCCCCCACCCCCUAUAAGACUCUUUUCUGCUCUUGGCUGGGUUUGGAAGAGGGAAAAAAUCAUUUGUAAUGGCUCCUCUUCGCGAAGACGCAGUUCCUGUAGGGACGUAUCUGGUCCUGGGUCUCCCAUCUCAGACUCACUCCUAAACAGCAGCAGUAUCCAGCGCAUCAUAGACAAAUAUACCAGGGAGCUCAACCUCUCUCUGUUCUGCUGGGAACCAGAUGGUGAUAGAGGGGUCAGUGUUUGAGGAGCCCAGCUUCUGUGUCCCAGCAACAGCAGAAGCAGAAGCCCUGGUCAAAGCAACUGCAGGAGAAUGAGGGACCAGACAGGUCACCUGUGUGGGGGGCCGACCCACACACUCUCCCCUUGGACACGGAGUCAGGAGCUCAGAGGCACGACCAAGUGGAUUCAUUCACACCCUCACACUCCAUUCAAUGGCAAUAUGGGUUCAAGAGUAAAUACCCAAAUUUUGUUGUUUUAGUAUCAACAUUAUAUAUAUAUAUAUAUAUAUAUUAGUCAAUGUCCAUUUCAGGAAUGGGACACUGUCAACCGAGGCAGGACUCCACUAUCAGUCCAAUGAUUGGCCAGCCCUUGGAUAAAUCAUCCUCACCGGGCCACAGGUGGGACUUGACUUAGCCGAAUGAUUGGCCAGCUCUCAGGUCAAUCAACCUCACUGGACCAAGGGUGGGAUUUGACUUUGAGCAGAAUGAUUGGCGGACUCUCCAAUCAGUCAACCUCUGUGAGCCAGCUGAUUGGUCAGAUUCGACUGGACCAGUCAUCCCAGUGGCUGGAUAAAGGCCAGGAUGAGAGCCAGAUGAUGGGGCCUCUGGUUGGAGAGCUGGAUGAGCCUGCUGCCCAAUGGAGUUGGAGCUCAGGAGCUGAUGGGUCUAACUCCCUAGGCUGGGUGGAUCUGAGAGGCUCAGGCCAGACAGGAGUGUCAUCUGACCAAGAGGGAGCCCCUGAAGCCCAUUCACAGAGCAGCUCCUUUCCCCCUGGACUAGAACCUCUGCCACACUACCAGUGCCUGCAGCGCUCUGGCACCAGUUCCCAGGAAGUAGACAGGACUGGGGUCACACACAACGAGACAGCUGAACCUCCAUGACCUUUCACCUUCCAGAAGAGGAAGUGGAGGGGGCCAUGUUCCCACGAAGAAGAAAGUGACCAUGAAGCACUUGCAGGGGACCUUGAACUCUCUGCAUGCUCAGAGGAGUUUGUGGAUGACACUUGGUCUGUCACCUCUGACCCCUCUCCUGAGUGCCUGAGAGGAGGGGAGGAACCACCUCAGCUCUCGCCUACCCUGCACGACUCCUUGUACCAGCUGACCACGUCCCAGUGCCUCCCUCAUAACUCUGCUCUGGAUGUAUCCCCAGGAGCAGAGGUGGGGGGGUAUGGCAGCAUGUUCCCUCUCAGGCUCCUCUCUCUGUGAAGAUGUCCCCACUUUGGACAAGCCACUUGAAGGCAGGGACACUGAUAUGGAGAGCACACCAGCACCUCAGACAGUUGACCAAGGAGGUGCUAUUAUUAAGGACCUGGGUGCAGGAGAGCCGGAUGCCCAGCUAUGUUCAGAGUCAAAGAUCAGGCCUCCCAUCUGGGAGAGAAUAAUGGUGGGCAGUGUGAAUGGGAUAAUGGACGAUUCCAUGCUGACCCUGGUGAGCCUGACAGACACCACAUUAAAGGACCACGGACUUGCUGAGGAAGGAGAGAUGGAUGAGGUAUCAGACCAAGAAGGCAUUGUGGAGAAGGAAUCCGAGUGGACAGUGUUGCCAGAGGAGGAUGCCAGCCUACAGGAGGAAGAGACAACCCCCUCUCAUGCAGGUUGUACAGCUAACUAGAUGAGGUGAAGCUUCAGAAGGAGGUCAGGAGCAGACAGGAGGCAUAUGCCAAAGAGUUUCGCAAGAAAACCUUACAGAAGCUACGGGCCAAGCAGUCUCCACAAUGAUACUGAAUAUCAGUUUUAUCUGUUGUGUGUUCUGUUUGCACUUAUUUUGUACUUCCAUGUGUAUUUGUACAGUUUAAUCAGUAAUGUAAAAUAUAUUUUUAAAGUGUGUAUAUAAUCUUUAUUCAGUCUAUUCAUCACAACUUACUACUGUGUUCACACAACAAAAGCAGCCAGUGCACUAUUGCACCUUGAAUACUGCAGAUACACACAUUGCAUUAUGAGAAUGUUAUGUUGCCUGUAAAAAUAUUUUUGUUUUAGGUUUUUAUAGCCAAUAAAGUUGCUUGUUGAUGAUUUUGCCUAUCCUUAUAAGUUAUAUUAUGGGAGUUCACUUGAACUGAAAAGAUUGGAAAACUUCUAAACUUGUCACACGAAAUAAAGGCCUCCCACC
ensembl:lncRNA